CUCCAGGUGAUUAACAACAGAAAUUUUGAUAGCCAAUCAGAAUCCACCUGACCAGCUUGAGCAUUUAAAGAGGCAGACGACAAAACCUCAGCGCAUGCAGAAGGUUAUCAUAUGUUGGUGUAGAUGCUAAUAUUGUUAUAGUUAUCUUUUUCAUUAUCGUUCUUGGUGUGAAUGGGCCUUUAGAUAGGGAGAAAAGGAAUAAUCUGUCUGUGUGUGUAUGCAGGAGUAUCUCAGUGUGACCCUAGAAUCCGUCCUGGCCAAGAAAAUCACAGAAGCGUCACUGAUGAGUAGUGAUUUAAUUACAGUAGUGCAAGGUGUCCUUCUUUCUACCUGCCUUCCGGGUGAUCUCUCCCUCUCUCUAUCGUUCCUUCUUACUCUCUUUUUCUGGGACAAUAGGGGACUGGAGGUGGAGGCCAGGAACUCUAAAACUACUUCUGGUACCUCAGGGCUCAAUGUUUAGGGUGGCUUUGUCUUCCAAAAGUAGGGAAUGUUCUUUCCCUCUGACCACAAUAUGGACGUGAACUCCGGAAAAGACACUGUCACUGCCAUGGAGACAUUCUGGAACUGUUGCCUUGGAAACAGUAAUCAUGGUUUGAGCGAGGGGUGAAAUGGAAGAGUUUUUUGAGGGUGGAAGAGUGUGAUCCUCUCCACCUUGUUUUUAGAGCUGCAACUGAGUCAAAGAUUAGGCAGAGAUGGAGACCCAAUCUUGCUUCCGCCUCAGCUGUUUCCGAAGGAAGACAAACACGCCCCACGCCAAUAAAACCGCAGCGCGAUGCUCCCCCAAUGUCACCGAACGGAUGAACUUUGCGGGGAGCCGCAGAACCCUCACCAGCUCCCCACAGUUCCGGCUGUGGAUCCAGCAUGUAAUAGAAGAUGGUGAGAAUUCAAUAAUCAUCAGAGUCCUCAUCUCCACAUGCUCUACUGAACAGGAAAAUAAUUACAUUUCUUUCACUUUUUUUGUCUCAGAUAAAUUAUGGAUCCCUUAUCUGGCUCCAAGGAUAAACGAAUCUGAUUCACGGGCCAAUUAACUAGCAUUCUUGCACCUCGAUGGAGCGUGCUCAGUGUCUCAUGAAUGAGUGGCAUGCGCCGAGAACAGCACGAGAAGAAGCAUGUGGCUUUUAUGCGAUUCUCAUAACACAUUCUCUAUCAAACACAACAGGUUUCCUUGCACAUAUUUCUAGUUUAUGAUUCUACGAUGUAUAAUAUAUCGCCCAAUCGAUGUUCAACACCAUCUGUAUUCUGGUUCUAAAAAAAUGGUUUCUUUCAUAGCUUCUUACAAUCGAGGAUACUCUGAACCCCAUCCCCCCCCACCACUCUUACUCAUCGUACACCUGACUCACCUCCAACCUCACACUGCAGAGAGGCUUUGGAUGAAGCGUAAUGAUGGUCAGGCAGAGCGGCUCUGAGACGCAGGAGGGUUGUGUUCUGAGGGGCACUCUCUUUUGUUGUGUGGUGCUCUGAAGCGGGCUGCGUUUGGUCUCCUCAAAAUGCCACAGGUUAUUGUGUUUCUACUUAAAGGGGAGUCGUGGGGAGUCGUGGCCUAAUGGUUAGAGAGUCGGACUCCCAAUCGAAGGGUUGUGAGUUCGAGUCUCGGGCCGGCAGGAAUUGUGGGUGGGGGGAGUGCAUGUACAGUUCUCUCUCCACCUUCAAUACCACGACUUAGGUGCCCUUGAGCAAGGCAUCGAACCCCCAACUGCUCCCCGGGCGCCGCAGCAUAAAAUGGCUGCCCACUGCUCCGGGUGUGUGUUCACAGUGUGUGUGUGUGUUCACUGCUCUGUGUGUGUGCACUUCGGAUGGGUUAAAUGCAGAGCACUAAUUCUGAGUAUGGGUCACCAUACUUGGCUGAAUGUCACGUCACUCACUUUCACUCACUAAAGUGUUCUUACAGGAGACAUUUGGAAUGCUGUCAGCUCUGGGGCUGAGCUGGGGAAAAGGUGGGGGGAUUAAAAGGUGCUGUUGUGCUGUUCCUGUGAGCUUUAAGACUGUAAACUUUUUUUUUUUAAAUGUAUCAUACGUAUUUCAUAGUUCUUGUGUGAUAACACAGAGAGAGGAAAUUUUAUUAUUUAGAGCAAUAUUUGUUUUUCUACUUUCAUUUCACACUCAUGUACACCUACAUUAGGUUGGUGUAAAGAGAGAGAAAUUGUUUGUUAAAACACCUCAUAAGAACUUCCUUUAGUGCCCAACUUUGUAACAUUAGGAUAUGGUUUAAAAUCACACAAACAUAAGAGUGUAUAUACUGUAAUGAUCUACCCUCACAGUCUUUCAACUACCAGAGACUCUGCUUAUUCUAGACUGAAGCACUAGGAUGUGGCCACUGAUAGUGUCAUUUACUUGCACUUGCUGUCUGCAAUGUUUUCUAUGGAAGCUUGUUUCCAUCUCAAGAGUAUAAAAAGGUAAUUGCCUUAUAUCUACAAAUGUGGUAACUUUUUAUUCAACAAUUGCAGAUAUAUACAGUAUAUAACAGAAUACACUCUAUUUGGAUUUUACUAUGUGUGUAUGUGUAUGUGUGUGUACAGUAUAUAUAUAUAUAUAUAUAUAUAUAUACACUACUGGUCAAAAGUCUGGAAUGAUUAAAAUUUCUUUAAUGUUGAAAGACGUCUACGUUUAUUUGAUCAAAAAUCCAAUAAAAACAGUGAUAUUGUGAAACAUUACAAUUUUAAGUAGUAGUACUGUUUUUAAUGGUGAUAAAAGAAAUGUUAGUUGAGCACAAAAUCAACAUAUUAGAAUGAUUUCUGAAGGAUAAUGUGACAUUGAAGAAUUGAGUAAUGGCUGCUGAAAAUUCAGUUUCACCAUUACAAGAAUAAAUUACAUUUUAAAAUAUAUUCAAAAUAUUUAUUUUAAAUUGGAAUAAUAUUUCACAAUGUUACUGUUUUUACUGUAUUUUGACCAAAUAAAUCCUUAUGCUUGGUGGGUGUUGGUUUCCUGUGGAUCAGGCUUUACUGUUGUGGAAGUCACCAGCCCUACUCCAGACCCAAUGCCCAGCUAGUCGUCACCACCCCACUGCACGGCGCAUUUGCCUGAGCCCUCUGUGAUGGAAGAGCCAUCGUAAGAAGAAGCGACUGAGCCUGCAAUCGUCCUCACAGCAUCUGACCAGUUUUGUGAGCUGGCAAUGCAGCACAUGCCAGAGGGAAUUCUCAUGGAAUUUGAGGGUAUGGAUUGAACCCCACCCACCCUCCAGCCACUGAGAGUGAAUGUUUACUGAACUUGGACACUGUUUAUCAGUUUGGAGAGAUAGAGACUUUGCUUCCCCUAAGCCUUCAUAAUUCUGUUAAUUUGUCUGAUUUGCUGGUCCUGCCCAGCCUCGCUCUCCAAGCUGCUUUAAGAGACUUUUUAUUUUUGUUUGGAUUUUGUGCAUUUUUUUCUUCUUUCUCCUCAGUCCUCAGCCACUCCUGCUGUCCAGUCAUCUUCGUCUCCCUUCAGUCCCUCUAUGGCCUGGUCCCAAGUUGCACCCUAAACACACACUUUCGUGACGUAAUGCCGCUUUGAAUGGCCAUUUGACAUUGGUCAGUCGACUCGACUUGGUUUUCCUCUUGCACCAUUUCCAUUCAUUGAGUUAAUUGUGUCAUUCUGUUCAGGUGUGUGUCAUUUAAAUAGUCUAGUCUGCUUGUGUAUGGGUAUCGUCAGUGUUAUGUGUGUUGCAAGCCUUCCCUUUCUUUGGAGUUACCUUCUGUGGAUUUAUUAAAGACUGCCUAUCUUCAUCAUCGUGUUCAUGUGUGUUUAUCAACACAGUAGUGUGACAGAUUAUUGUCAAGCAUGCCAACUGAGAGUGGGAUUCACAGAGGAAUCAUUAAAUGCUACUAGGAAAUCUGCUUACAAACAAGGUACAUUCUAUAUGUACUUAGGUGGUCACUUUGUUGGUGUUCAGCAUCUGUGUGUUUGUGUAAUCACUCUAGGAAAUGGAAGUUCAAAGUGUACUGGUGAUAAAUAGAAUAAACAUGGGAUCCUCAUAGGGAAAAAUCCAAUGAAUUUCAAUAUCACUGUACUUCUGUAAGAAUCAUUGAACGCUAUUGAUUCUGGAUACCCUAAGAAUCCCUCCAGUGGAGAUGGGAAAACUUUGAAUAAUUUAAGCCUGGAUGGAGAACUUCAAUGAUUUAACUAGCCCUUCCUUAAAAAUGCAACUUCUGGAUCCUUUCAAAAAAAUUUGUAGGAUUUUGGCUGAUACACAUCUUUAUCUUUCUGUCUUGCUCUCUUUUUCAGUAAAGGUCUUGUAAACAGAUAAAUGGUAAUCUUAGUCACAUCAUUAUAAUAAAAAUUGCUUUUCAAUCAGAGAUGCUUCACAUUUCUCAGGCAAAGCACGCAGUGUUGGGCACAAGUCUUCCUGACAGACAGAUUCAGAUCCAGGCAGAGCUCUAGGGACGAAAGGAUAGAGAAGCUCACUUAAACACAGCUAAUAAAAUCAAAUCCAUCUGCACUUCAGCUCACACGACGGGAAGGCUAAAGGGAUAUAAGUACAACUUUCAUUUAGUUAAUUUUCACUGUCAGAUUACACAAGGAGGUCGAAGAGAGAAAGACAGAGAGAGGAACAACAAGAUGGCUUGUAUCGCUCUUUCAUCUGGAUGUUGAGGAAGAUGGAAGGAUUAGAAACCGUCUGGUAUAAGAGGAUUUAGUUACCUUUCCUUACAGCCUCUGCUUUGAUUUCUCACACUAAAGAGAACAGAAGUGGUUCCUGUCUAGCUAACUGCUCAUUAAUGAAUAUUUCCCCCUCUUCAGGGUCUUGCCUUCCUUUUUGCUCAGUCUGACAGUUGCUGAUAUAACAUCACAAGUCGACAAAGUUGUCAUAAAACACAUCACCACCCUGCUGACAAAAUCAGUCCAGGCUGAUGACUAGUGAGUGAAACCAGCCCGAUCUCACGGCAAUUCGUACAUAUUUUACGAGGUGGCUAAUUCGUACGAAUUCGUACGACCACACUCGUACAAAUUCAUACGAUUUUUGCCAAAUCGUACGUAUUUUAGGAGUUGCACAUUCGUAUGAAUUUGUACGAAUGACCUACACCUAACCCCGCCCCUAAACUUAACCGUUACUGGGGUCUAGCCAAAUCGUAUGAAAUCGUACGAGUGAGGUCGUACGAAUUCGUACGAAUUAGCCACCUCGUAAAAUAUGUACGAAUUGGCGUGAGAUAGCGUUGGUGAAACUGGUCAAACAUAGUCAUUCUUGUGUACUUGACGUAACCAGUCAAAGACUACACUGAUUAACAGUAAGUCUUACAGCUGUAUAUGUUUUGUUCACUAAAAAGGAUCAGCUAAUAAGAGUUAUUCAUUCAAGAAUCAGACUACACUGAUUG
ensembl:lncRNA